AGCGAACGCUGGCGGCAGGCCUAAUACAUGCAAGUCGAGCGGCCGUAGCAAUACGGCAGCAGCAGACGGGAGAGUAACACGUGGGAACGUACCUUUCGGUUCGGAACAACCCAGGGAAACUUGGGCUAAUACCGGAUACGUCCGUAAGGAGAAAGACUUAUCGACGAAAGAUCGGGCCGCGUCUGAUUAGCUUGUUGGUUAGGUAACGGCUCACCAGGGCGACGAUCAGUAACUGGUCUGAGAGGAUGAUCAGCCUCACUGGGACUGAGACACGGCCCAGAAUCCUACGGGAGGCAGCAGUAGGGAAUAUUGGACAAUGGGCGCAAGCCUGUUCCAGCCAUGCCGCGUGAGUGAUGAAGGCCGUAGGGUUGUAGAGCUCGUUCGGCUGGGAAGAUAAUGACGGUACCCGCAGAAGAAGCCCCGGCUAACUUCGUGCCAGCCGCCGCAGUAA
rnacentral:rRNA from 1 species